GACGAACGCUGGCGGCGUGCUUAACACAUGCAAGUCGAACGGAAAGGCCCUGCUUUUGUGGGGUGCUCGAGUGGCGAACGGGUGAGUAACACGUGAGUAACCUGCCCUUGACUUUGGGAUAACUUCAGGAAACUGGGGCUAAUACCGGAUAGGAGCUCCUGCUGCAUGGUGGGGGUUGGAAAGUUUCGGCGGUUGGGGAUGGACUCGCGGCUUAUCAGCUUGUUGGUGGGGUAGUGGCUUACCAAGGCUUUGACGGGUAGCCGGCCUGAGAGGGUGACCGGCCACAUUGGGACUGAGAGACGGCCCAGACUCCUACGGGAGGCAGCAGUGGGGAAUAUUGCACAAUGGGCGGAAGCCUGAUGCAGCAACGCCGCGUGCGGGAUGACGGCCUUCGGGUUGUAAACCGCUUUCGCCUGUGACGAAGCGUGAGUGACGGUAAUGGGGAAAGAAGCACCGGCGAACUACGU
rnacentral:rRNA from 1 species